rnacentral:piRNA from 1 species
UGAACUCAGCAGAUAUCCCAGCAGGGUGAC